CUGUAGGGCAAUCUGUCUUUAAGCAGGGGUAGAUUACUCUUAAAGAAAAAAAAAACGAAUCCUAGUUUUCCCUUCAAGUCAAGUGUCUUAU
rnacentral:pre_miRNA from 1 species